rnacentral:rRNA from 1 species
UACAGAGGUCUCAAGCGUUGUUCGGAUUCAUUGGGCGUAAAGGGUGCGUAGGCGGCGCGGUAAGUCGGGUGUGAAAUCUCGGAGCUUAACUCCGAAACUGCAUUCGAUACUGCCGUGCUUGAGGACUGGAGAGGAGACUGGAAUUUACGGUGUAGCGGUGAAAUGCGUAGAUAUCGUAAGGAAGACCAGUGCGAAGGCGGGUCUCUGGACAGUUCCUGACGUGAGGCACGAAGGUCAGGGGAGCAAACGGG